GCGAGAAGCCAUACACACAGCGAGCAGAAGCUCCCAGAUAUUGAAGAUAAUUCUCCUCAUUAAACUAACUUAAUCAGAGGUAUACAGCCUUGUGCCGUGUUUAAUCCGACCCAGGAGGAGUCCGACGCUGAUUUGAGGCUGCAUAAAACGUUAAUCACGUCGGCAUACUCCCUCUCAUCUGCAGAGAGCCUGAACCUUGACGUCGCUCGGAAGUGGAGCGGACGAGAAAUCGGUCAGGUCUUUAAGUUGAGUGAGAAGAUCCAUGAAGACGGUCCAGAAGAUUACAGUAGAUUCCAGUAGAUGGCGAGCCACCCACCUUGAUCCCAGGACCAGUGUCUACAUUUCCGCUGAAAUAGCAGAUGAACUAUCUGCUUUGUGGUAGGAUCAUGCCAGUCACCUGGAUUGUUACCGACUCAAACUCAUAUUAGAAAGAGUGCACUCCAACGAUACUUUAGAUCCCGUGGAUUCCUGACGUUUUUGAACUCACAGAUCAAAAUCCAAUUGAUCUGAACUGACUUGGACAUU